ACAGCGCAGAAGUCGCGAACGAGGCGAUGCUGGUGGCGUUUGAUAGUGGGGGGGAAGGAAAGAGGCGCGAGUCGGCCGCGGUCGCGCGCGCGUCGGCUGCUCUCUCCUGCCGGCCUGCAACUUCCCGGAUAUCUUUCCGGUAAACUUUCCUCUCCUCGCCGGGGUCGGGAGGAAAGCCCCGACUUUUCCCAUCUCGCUCGCUCCGCCGCCGGGUUUUCACGCGUCCGGACGUAUCGUCUCCCGUCCUGGCCCGAACCGAGAUCCAGGAUUUCCGACCGGCGGGAGAGACGCCGACGACAUCGCGGGCUGCGUCGCGAGACCGGAAGAAUUCGCCGGCGGUCUUUCUCCUUCUCGUCUCCUUCUCUCUUUGAUUUCCUUCCGACGAGACGCCAGGUCCGGCGUGAUAAACGUGAAAAGUGUUCUACGCGCUCGUAGAUAAGACUUGUGCUAAUUGCGUGUUUUUUUUAAUAGUGACAAAGUUCGAGAUAAAUCUCUUGUGCACGAGAUUCACGCGACACUGUAUUGGGCACCAAUGGUAGCAGAGAAACUCGUUUUAUUGUAAAAUUUGUGAAUCUGAUUAGUUGACGAUAUCAUAAUGGCGACAAAUCUGGUCCUGCAAAUAAUGGUGGUGCGAGGAUGACGUAACAUUUUGACGAAAUAGCGACAAGAAAUGAAGACUCCGGAGAAUGAAGAAAUUGGAAGCGAUGCCGGAUUCCUUCGAGUGCAACGUUUGCAAGAAAUUAUUUUUGCAGGAAGUUACGUUUGUAGAAAAUCAUUAGCUGUACGAUUAGCAUGUAACCAGGUAUGCUUGAACAACCUAAAGCCGUCAUUUUAAGCUCUACUAUGGCGAUGCUAAAAAUUAUCAAUAAUGUUAAUAUGUCUAGAUAACGAGGAACAUGCCAAUCGAUGCUCUCAUCAAGAGUCAAAUUGCGUAAUAUACUAGUGGAGUCGUAAAUGUGGUAUUUUUAGAGCAAUAUCCUAACCUUACACUUCUCACAGUAACUGACACGUGUCCCCCAAAACUACACAUCGGUAAUAGCGUAUAGUCUACUGAAACUUUAGAAAAAUCGCGUCUCUCGUCAUCUUUUCGCAUUCGCGAUAACGCUGAAUACAAAAAUACCGCACUUACUCACAUUAAUAAAAUUUAACUUACGUUGUG